rnacentral:rRNA from 1 species
UACGUAGGGGGCAAGCGUUGUCCGGAAUCAUUGGGCGUAAAGAGCGUGUAGGCGGCCAGAUAAGUCCGCUGUGAAAUCUCGAGGCUCAACUUCGAGCUGUCGGUGGAAACUGUCUGGCUAGAGUCCGGAAGAGGAGAAUGGAAUUCCUGGUGUAGCGGUGAAAUGCGCAGAUAUCAGGAAGAACACCCGUGGCAAAGGCGGUUCUCUGGGACGGUACUGACGCUGAGACGCGAAAGCGUGGGGAGCGAACAGG